UCCCUGGUGGUCCAGUGGCUAAGACUCUAUGUUCCCAAUGCAGGGGGCCAGGUUCAAUCCCUGGUCAGGGAA
rnacentral:tRNA from 1 species